rfam:Paenibacillus sp. FSL H8-0548 NODE_21_length_109087_cov_1.59456_ID_11304, whole genome shotgun sequence.
CGAGAUGUACAAGUACCGCUCCGAUUGGGUAAAUAAGCGUUUUUGGCGAAAGCUGAGAGCCACCUGAAUUAGGCGAGUCUUCGAAAAUAA